CCCUUAGAUGUUCUGGGCCGCACACGCGCUACACUGAAGGAGGCAGCGUGUACUCCUGGAUCGAAAGAUUUGGGUAACCCGCGAAUCUCCUUCGUGCUAGGGAUUGAGGUUUGCAAUUAUCCUUCAUGAACGAGGAAUUCCCAGUAAGUGCAAGUCAUAAGCUUGCGCUGACUACGUCCCUGCCCUUUGUACACACCGCCCGUCGCUCCUACCGAUUGAAUGUUAAGGCGAACCCUCCGGAAUCGUGGCCUCGAUCGGGCAACCUUUCUUGGCCAAUGGUGAAGUUGUGUAAGCCUUGACAUUUAGAGGAAGGAAAAGUCGUAACA
rnacentral:rRNA from 1 species